CAAAGCAAGUGCAAGCUCCUGUCAGACUUCACUGUGGGACUGAAGGCUGCAGGGCUGAACAGGAUGUCUUUGGGGAAGGAUCACUGCCUGCUGGCCUGCACCAUGAGAGCAUGUCCUUGGCUGUUAACAAAGGUGAGGAAAGGCAGAGUCAAAGCAGCCACAGCAAAGCCAGCAGAGAAGAUGAGGGCAGUAACCAGCCACAUGGAUCUGUCACCUAGAAACAACAGAAGCAGUAAAACUUCUCAGAGAGACUGUGAGGACAAGCCACUCGAUGCAGCCAGCCUGCCUCCUCUGCAGCUGCUCUUCCCACCCACCCUGAUGCAAAGCCUGCACUUACAACAGGCCUGAUCAGCCAGCAGUGUAACACACGUGUGGACGCUUCUGACAAGCCAGUAGGGCUCUCCUGGCAGGGCAAGUCCAUCUCUCCAUCAAAACAUACUUCUCCACAGAAACAUGAUCUUGAGUUUGAAAAGAUUUCAAGGACAAAAUCAGGGAAUGGUUCCCAAAGAACCACUGGAAAGGAGGAAUGGAUGGAGCAGUUUCAACCAACCCAGUGUAGCAGUCAUUUCAAACCCCUCCCAGGAACAAGGGUCUCCCACCUUCUGUGGCAAAGCCAUAGCACACAGCAGCUAUUCACUGAGUGCCAUGGAGUGUUUGUAAUUCAG